rnacentral:rRNA from 1 species
GAUGAACGCUGGCGGCGUGCUUAACACAUGCAAGUCGAACGGUGAAGGCGGAGCUUGCUCUGCUGGAUCAGUGGCGAACGGGUGAGUAACACGUGAGCAAUCUGCCCCUGACUCUGGGAUAAGCGCUGGAAACGGCGUCUAAUACUGGAUACGAGCUGCGAAGGCAUCUUCAGCAGCUGGAAAGAAUUUCGGUCAGGGAUGAGCUCGCGGCCUAUCAGCUUGUUGGUGAGGUAAUGGCUCACCAAGGCGUCGACGGGUAGCCGGCCUGAGAGGGUGACCGGCCACACUGGGACUGAGACACGGCCCAGACUCCUACGGGAGGCAGCAGUGGGGAAUAUUGCACAAUGGGCGAAAGCCUGAUGCAGCAACGCCGCGUGAGGGACGACGGCCUUCGGGUUGUAAACCUCUUUUAGCAGGGAAGAAGCGAAAGGGACGGUACCUGCAGAAAAAGCGCCGGCGAACUACGU